GUGUCAGCCGCCGCGGUAACACGUAGGGGGCAAGCGUUGUCCGGAAUUAUUGGGCGUAAAGAGCUCGUAGGCGGCUCGGUAAGUCAGGUGUCAAAUCUUCAGGCUCAACCUGGAGCUCCACCUGAUACUGCUGUGGCUAGAGUCCGGUAGGGGAGCGUGGAAUUCCUGGUGUAGCGGUGAAAUGCGCAGAUAUCAGGAGGAACACCAGCGGCGAAGGCGGCGCUCUGGGCCGGAACUGACGCUGAGGAGCGAAAGCGUGGGUAGCAAACAGGAUUAGAAACCCCUGUAGUCC
rnacentral:rRNA from 1 species